CUUUUGGGAGAGCUCGGUACUCGUAGUGCCGACGCCGAAGGCGCAAUCCGUCCGGAAUCGCUCAGGCAAAUGGACCAU
rnacentral:ncRNA from 1 species